GCCGGACGAUGAUCUGACAUGCAGUCUCGAGCGAUAACCAUGUCUUCUCUGGACUGAUCUCCGCGGUGGGCGCUGCGGAGGAUGACCACGUGCAUCUUCGGAAUCACGGCCGGAUGCUAGUUACCAAAAACGAUUAACGUAUCCGUGUCGUGCAUUUAGUGUGUCUUAUAUCCGGGGGUCGGUAGCGGCCAGGUCCUGUGAUUGCGCUGUGCGCGCGUCGGACGGAGAAAAUUCUCGGGGAAACAUACAUCCGCUGACCUUCGUAUCUCUGAACUAGAGCACUUCGAUAAAUUUGAUGGCUAGACGCAUUUAUUCCUUUUCCCAAGCGGGUCUGUGCGCUCGAAUCGCGUCUCUUCGCGGCUAGGGCCCAGUGCUCGCGUCCCCCAAGCUCGACCCGCACCUCUAUCUAAGACGGGAACAUUUGAACAAGAGGGAGGGAAAGAUUCCAAUCGUGCCCGCACAGUACGGGGGGGGGGAGAUAGAGCUAAGAUUUUUUACAUAGGAAUUCCCUCGUCGCCUCUUCGUACAAACGCUUAAAGGGGCGGGUAUUAAGUUUUCGAAAGUUUUUCUCCCUCCCUCCGUGUAGCGUGCUUGUGCUUUGAGGUUCCCGAUGAGUUCGGGGGUGCGGCAAACAGUCUACAGAUACUCUUUGACCAUAUCACGAUUUUAGGAGGUCGAUGGGCGCGGGUACCGUGGGGGGCGGUCCAUCGACGCACCGCCUUGCUGAAUUAUAUAAAGUUUUGGGGUUCGCGCCGGGGGGGCCCGGGCCGGGUAAAAUAUCGGGAGGCAUCGAUGCCGCUGAGGGAUGCGUCUCAGUGAUACUCUGCAUCAUGACGAGCGCAGUGACGUAGUGAGAGAGCACUGGUCGCUACGUGCCAGCAGCGCGUAUACGUAGGGUGCGAGCGUGUCUGAAUUACUGGGCGUAAGAGCUCGUAGCCGUUGUCGCGUCGUCUGUGAAUCGGCAGCUCACUGCGGGCUGCAGUCUUAUUAUGGCAGACUCGAGUACUGCAGGGGAGACUGAAUUCCUGGUGUAGCGGUGAAAUGCGCAGAUAUCAGGAGGAUCUCCGGUGGCGAAGGCGGGUCUCUGGGCAGUAACUGACGCUGAGGAGCGAAAGCGUGGGUAGCGAACAGGAUUAGAUACCCUGGUAGUCCACGCCGUAAACGGUGGGCGCUAGGUGUGGGUUUCCUUUCCACGGGAUUCCGUGCCGUAGCCAACGCAUUAAGCGCCCCGCCUGGGGAGUACGGCCGCAAGGCUAAAACUCAAAGGAAUUGACGGGGGCCCGCACAAGCGGCGGAGCAUGUGGAUUAAUUCGAUGCAACGCGAAGAACCUUACCUGGGUUUGACAUGUACCGGACGACUGCAGAGAUGUGGUUUCCCUUGUGGCCGGUAGACAGGUGGUGCAUGGCUGUCGUCAGCUCGUGUCGUGAGAUGUUGGGUUAAGUCCCGCAACGAGCGCAACCCUUGUCCUGUGUUGCCAGCACGUGAUGGUGGGGACUCGCAGGAGACUGCCGGGGUCAACUCGGAGGAAGGUGGGGACGACGUCAAGUCAUCAUGCCCCUUAUGUCCAGGGCUUCACACAUGCUACAAUGGUCGGUACAGAGGGCUGCGAUACCGUGAGGUGGAGCGAAUCCCUUAAAGCCGGUCUCAGUUCGGAUCGGGGUCUGCAACUCGACCCCGUGAAGUCGGAGUCGCUAGUAAUCGCAGAUCACAACGCUGCGGUGAAUACGUUCCCGGGCCUUGUACUCACCGCCCGUCACGCAGCAAGUCGGACAGAAACAAGCUAGAGUUGUCCUGCUCAGAUGACCAUAUCAGAGGA
rnacentral:rRNA from 1 species